rnacentral:rRNA from 1 species
UACGGAGGAUGCGAGCGUUAUCCGGAUUUAUUGGGUUUAAAGGGUGCGUAGGCGGCAUUAUAAGUUAGUGGUAAAAUUUUGGGGCUUCACCUCAUUGUGCCAUUAAUACUGUAGAGCUAGAGAACAGACGAGGUAGGCGGAAUAAGUUAAGUAGCGGUGAAAUGCAUAGAUAUAACUUAGAACUCCGAUAGCGAAGGCAGCUUACCAGGCUGAGUCUGACGCUGAUGCACGAGAGCAUGGGUAGCGAACAGGAUUAGAAACCCGGGUAGUCCAUUGGCUCGUAUGGUGCCAGCCGCCGCGGUA